rnacentral:rRNA from 1 species
UUUACCGGAGUACUAUGAAUAUAAAAAAUUUAAAACUCAAAGAACUUGGCGGUGNCNUUAGACCACUCAGGGGAACCUGUCUCGUAAUCGAUAGUCCACGUUGUAUCUGACCUUUUCUUGUUUUUCAGUUUGUAUACCGUUGUCGUCAGGUAACUUUUUAGAAACUAAAAGUUAGCAAUAGAAAUAUAAAUAAUUUAAUACGUCAAAUCAAGGUGCAGCUAAUGGAAGGGGGAGGAUGGGUUACAAUUAUAUGAUUUAUAAUACGGAAGAAUGUAUGGAAUGUGCGUUGACAUAAGGAGGACUUGAAAGUAAAUUAAAUUAUCUGGAUAAUUUGAAUUGGGCUCUGAAACGUGU